AUCUAAGUAGCUUAUAUUAGAGUAUAACACUGAAGAUGUUAGGGAGAUUUAUUAAUUCUUAGGUA
rnacentral:tRNA from 1 species